rnacentral:rRNA from 1 species
CUAGCUUGCUAGGAGGCGUCGAGCGGCGGACGGGUGAGUAACGCGUGAGAAUCUACCCAUGAGUGGGGGACAACCCGGGGAAACUCGGGCUAAUACCGCAUACGCCCUACGGGGUAAAGCAGGGGACCUUCGGGCCUUGCGCUGAUGGAUGAGCUCGCGUCGGAUUAGCUUGUUGGUGAGGUAAAGGCUCACCAAGGCGACGAUCCGUAGCUGGUCUGAGAGGAUGAUCAGCCACACCGGGACUGAGACACGGCCCGGACUCCUACGGGAGGCAGCAGUGGGGAAUCUUGGACAAUGGGGGCAACCCUGAUCCAGCCAUGCCGCGUGUGUGAAGAAGGCCUUCGGGUUGUAAAGCACUUUCAGCAGGGAGGAAGGCUUACCCCUAAUACGGGUGAGUACUUGACGUUACCUGCAGAAGAAGCACCGGCUAAUUUCGUGCCAGCAGCCGCGGUAAUACGAAAGGUGCAAGCGUUAAUCGGAAUUACUGGGCGUAAAGCGCGCGUAGGCGGUGUGUUAAGUCGGAUGUGAAAGCCCAGGGCUCAACCUUGGAAUUGCAUCCGAUACUGGCACGCUAGAGUGCAGUAGAGGGGGGUGGAAUUUCCGGUGUAGCGGUGAAAUGCGUAGAGAUCGGAAGGAACACCAGUGGCGAAGGCGGCCUCCUGGACUGACACUGACGCUGAGGUGCGAAAGCGUGGGGAGCAAACAGGGUUAGAUACCCAGGUAGUCCACGCUGUAAACGAUGUCUACUAGCCGUCGGGGUCCUUAGUGACUUUGGUGGCGCAGCUAACGCGAUAAGUAGACCGCCUGGGGAGUACGGCCGCAAGGUUAAAACUCAAAUGAAUUGACGGGGGCCCGCACAAGCGGUGGAGCAUGUGGUUUAAUUCGAUGCAACGCGAAGAACCUUACCAGGUCUUGACAUCCUCGGAACUUGGCAGAGAUGCCUUGGUGCCUUCGGGAGCCGAGUGACAGGUGCUGCAUGGCCGUCGUCAGCUCGUGUCGUGAGAUGUUGGGUUAAGUCCCGUAACGAGCGCAACCCUUGUCCUUAGUUGCCAGCACGUCAUGGUGGGAACUCUAGGGAGACUGCCGGUGACAAACCGGAGGAAGGUGGGGACGACGUCAGGUCAUCAUGGCCCUUACGACCUGGGCUACACACGUGCUACAAUGGCUGGUACAGAGGGUUGCGAAGUCGCGAGGCGAAGCUAAUCCCUUAAAGCCGGUCGUAGUCCGGAUCGGAGUCUGCAACUCGACUCCGUGAAGUCGGAAUCGCUAGUAAUCGCGGAUCAGAAUGCCGCGGUGAAUACGUUCCCGGGCCUUG